rnacentral:rRNA from 1 species
GAGGAAUUUUGCGCAAUGGGGGGAAACCCUGACGCAGCAACGCCGCGUGAGUGAUGAAGGCUUUCGGGUCGUAAAGCUCUGUCAAGUGGGAAGAAACCACAUGGUGUUAAUACCACCUUGUGCUGACGGUACC